GAUGAACGCUGGCGGCGUGCCUAAUACAUGCAAGUCGAGCGAACGGACGAGUAGCUUGCUUCUCUGAUGUUAGCGGCGGACGGGUGAGUAACACGUGGAUAACCUACCUAUAAGACUGGGAUAACUUCGGGAAACCGGAGCUAAUACCGGAUAAUAUUUUGAACCGCAUGGUUCAAAAGUGAAAGACGGUCUUGCUGUCACUUAUAGAUGGAUCCGCGCUGCAUUAGCUAGUUGGUAAGGUAACGGCUUACCAAGGCAACGAUGCAUAGCCGACCUGAGAGGGUGAUCGGCCACACUGGAACUGAGACACGGUCCAGACUCCGACGGGAGGCAGCAGUAGGGAAUCUUCCGCAAUGGGCGAAAGCCUGACGGAGCAACGCCGCGUGAGUGAUGAAGGUCUUCGGAUCGUAAAACUCUGUUAUUAGGGAAGAACAUAUGUGUAAGUAACUGUGCACAUCUUGACGGUACCUAAUCAGAAAGCCACGGCUAACUACGUG
rnacentral:rRNA from 1 species